rnacentral:rRNA from 1 species
UACGUAGGGGGCAAGCGUUGUCCGGAUUUAUUGGGCGUAAAGAGCUCGUAGGCGGCUUGUUGCGUCGGCUGUGAAAACCCGCGGCUUAACCGCGGGCUUGCAGCCGAUACGGGCAUCACUAGAGUUCGGCAGGGGAGACUGGAAUUCCUGGUGUAGCGGUGAAAUGCGCAGAUAUCAGGAGGAACACCGGUGGCGAAGGCGGGUCUC